CUGUUCCUUGGGUUUUCUGCCCAUUGGUAUCCAAAGGGUGAUAGGUGUCUGAAAUCAGAUCAGUAGAAGGCCCCUUCACAGAAACCUGGAAGUUGAGAAGAAUGGCAACAGACUGAAAAUGAUGAUUCUUAAGCUCACUAAUGUUUGGGAAUCACGAGCCCCUGUUUGACAGACUGGAAGAGCUGAUAACCUCUGGCUUUCCUUGUAAAAGAAACAGCAGAGUCCAUGAUCAAGCAAAAUCAACAACUCAGAAACAGUCUUUGGUGAAACUGCAAAGUAGGCAAGGUUCUACUAUGACUUUCUUCUCCCUUCCUCUCCUUGUCUCCCACCUCGUGGAACUCCCAGCUCCUCCCAGGGUUUGAGAAGAUAAAAACUGCCUAACGGGGCUUCCCUGGUGGCGCAAUGGUUGAGAGUCCGC